AUGGACUCUGGCCCCACGCUGGGACAAAGUCCUGCCCAACCCUCCCGUGCACGGCUCCCGGAUGGGCCUGGCCAGGGCAGGAGUGGCGCUGGUGGCACAUGGCCACACUCCCUGUCCAGCCCUGUGCAGGAUCCCACCAGCCCGAGCCCCCAGGGCCACCCGGGGGGACGAUGGCACAAGGGGGACCAGCUGGGGAGCCCCAAAUCCACCCCCAGCAGCUGGGGGAAGCCGCCAAGGAGCCACACCCCCUUCCCUACACCUCAAACCAGGAGCAGGGGGAAUUCCUGCCCCUCUCAGCCCCUCCCAGCAGAGCAGCAGCUCUCUGGACCCCGCUCCCUCGCCGGGAUCUCCCGCACGCCCGGCCGGGCGCGUGUGCAUGGCACGAACUCCUUCCCCUUCCAGCAUCUCCUUCCAGGCCAGCAUUCCUGCAGCCUUUGGUUUUCCAUAAAACAAACACUCCCGGGGAGCUCCCCAGCUGGGCCAGGCAACCGUGCUGCUGAUUUAGGCCAUCUGGGGACUGUCCCUCCCUUGUAUUUAGAUUUCGGGGCCAAGUUCAGCAUUUGUGAGAUACUUUGCAAGCCGCGGCAAAGGGGCCACCGGGAGGUUGGAGCGGGACCGGCCGGGCCAGCAGCGCUCCAUCACCGUCACAGCCUCCAAAGCAGCACCGUGCCCCCUCCCCUGAACGCUCCAGCCCCUUCUCAGCAGCCAAAUUCUGGCCCCGCCCCUCGGUGUUUGGCUCGCAGCUCGCCCCGGGAGGCGAUGGCAGCACAGAUGGACACUGCUGCCCGCACAGCCCGGCCCCGGGGACCCGGACACAGAGCGCUUUUCUCCUCCUCUCGCUCGGGGACAGCAGAUCCUGUGACAUUCCCGCUGUCACAAAGGAAACCAGGCCAGGGAGGCAUCGCUGCCUUUCCAGCCACCUACCAGGGGAAGCUGCUGGUAACCCGAGAGACUUCGCAGGCACCUGGCAGCGCUGCCCAUCCCAGAGCAGAGCCAAGCCCCAGCAGGGCUUUGGGGCAAGGGGAGGGGACAGGACCUGCACACCCAGGUUGA
rnacentral:lncRNA from 1 species